CCAGACUGUCAACGGCUAGAUUCCAUCGCCCACAGAGUUUAUUCUAUACUUUUUCUUCCGAAACGGACGGUCCAGAUCAUCCAUGCAUGCCCCAAAAACACUAAUCCAUCAUUCACCACAACACGCAAACACUAUCCCCCAAUCCUUUUCCAUAGCUCAACGUGGAGAAGGAAACGGCGCCGUUACUCAACCCAAACGGUGGUCCCGCGGCGGUCUACGGCGCUUCCUCGUUCUUCGCUCAGUGAGUUAGACCGCACGCUUUUCAGUUUUGGUUUUGGAUUUUACCUGCAUUGUCGUCUUCUACUGUUCG